rnacentral:rRNA from 1 species
GGGUUGUGAGGUUAAGCGACUAAGCGUACACGGUGGAUGCCCUGGCAGUCAGAGGCGAUGAAGGGCGUGCUAAUCUGCGAUAAGCGCCGGUAAGGUGAUAUGAACCGUUAUAACCGGCGAUACCCGAAUGGGGAAACCCAGUGUGAUUCGUCACACUAUCAUUAACUGAAUCCAUAGGUUAAUGAGGCGAACCGGGGGAACUGAAACAUCUAAGUACCCCGAGGAAAAGAAAUCAACCGAGAUUCCCCCAGUAGCGGCGAGCGAACGGGGAGGAGCCCAGAGCCUGAAUCAGCAUGUGUGUUAGUGGAAGCGUCUGGAAAGGCGCGCGAUACAGGGUGACAGCCCCGUACACAAAAGCGUAUGUGCUGUGAGCUCGAUGAGUAGGGCGGGACACGUGGUAUCCUGUCUGAAUAUGGGGGGACCAUCCUCCAAGGCUAAAUACUCCUGACUGACCGAUAGUGAACCAGUACCGUGAGGGAAAGGCGAAAAGAACCCCGGCGAGGGGAGUGAAAAAGAACCUGAAACCGUGUACGUACAAGCAGUGGGAGCACCCUUUGGGGUGUGACUGCGUACCUUUUGUAUAAUGGGUCAGCGACUUAUAUUCUGUAGCAAGGUUAACCGAAUAGGGGAGCCGGAGGGAAACCGAGUCUUAAUUGGGCGUUAAGUUGCAGGGUAUAGACCCGAAACCCGGUGAUCUAGCCAUGGGCAGGUUGAAGGUUGGGUAACACUAACUGGAGGACCGAACCGACUAAUGUUGAAAAAUUAGCGGAUGACCUGUGGCUGGGGGUGAAAGGCCAAUCAAACCGGGAGAUAGCUGGUUCUCCCCGAAAGCUAUUUAGGUAGCGCCUCGUGAAUUCAUCUCCGGGGGUAGAGCACUGUUUCGGCUAGGGGGUCAUCCCGACUUACCAACCCGAUGCAAACUGCGAAUACCGGAGAAUGUUAUCACGGGAGACACACGGCGGGUGCUAACGUCCGUCGUGAAGAGGGAAACAACCCAGACCGCCAGCUAAGGUCCCAAAGUCAUGGUUAAGUGGGAAACGAUGUGGGAAGGCCCAGACAGCCAGGAUGUUGGCUUAGAAGCAGCCAUCAUUUAAAGAAAGCGUAAUAGCUCACUGGUCGAGUCGGCCUGCGCGGAAGAUGUAACGGGGCUAAACCAUGCACCGAAGCUGCGGCAGCGACAC